rnacentral:snoRNA from 1 species
CCCAUUAAUUCCCCUAACUAGUUCUUUGUUGACUGGUGCAACCCAGUGGUGAGCUGACACUAAAUCUCAGGUCUGCAAACAGAAUCGUUCUGUCCAUGGAUGGUACCAUGCUGAGAUUUGAAAAGGUG